rnacentral:SRP_RNA from 1 species
AAAUGGGAAAGUGCUGUACGGCUAGCUCCCUUCGAAUCCUCCAGGGCUUGACCGCAGCAAAGGUAGUUGGUUGUAGCAGCGCGAUGCAGAGAGCUUUCCCACC